rnacentral:telomerase_RNA from 1 species
ACUUCCUGACUUCUCCAAUGGACUUGAAGUUUGUCUCCAGUCCUCUCUAACCCUAACCGGGUCGAAUACCUCUACUCCUAUAUCUUGCAGUUUUUUACGCCAGUUUUCUGUGAGAUGGGAGUGGAGUCCACUGAGCGUGAAUGAAGGCGACAAAAUAACUGGUUGUAGAGUUUUCGGGAAGCAUGCUUACAAAAAUGGCUGACAUGUUUGCGUUCUGCCCAAACUGAACGGUUUGGCGACCACUUCCAUUAACCUUGUGUUAAAUGUUGUGUGUUAAGGGUUCUCCCUGCCGCUUGUCGUUCUCAUGUUUGUUUAGACGUUACAUUGAUGUCAGGCAUUGUGUAUAGAUAAAACACCAUUGAGAGAACGGUCAUUGAACCUGGUUCUGUAAUCUUAGAGCUGCAGGCCGACCGUAUCUCAAACAUUC